UACUAGUUGUCGGGUUUUAAUUAACUUGGUAACGCAGCUAACGCGUGAAGUAGACCGCCUGGGGAGUACGGUCGCAAGAUUAAAACUCAAAGGAAUUGACGGGGACCCGCACAAGCGGUGGAUGAUGUGGAUUAAUUCGAUGCAACGCGAAAAACCUUACCUACCCUUGACAUGUACGGAAGGCCGAAGAGAUUUGGCUGUGCUCGAAAGAGAACCGUAACACAGGUGCUGCAUGGCUGUCGUCAGCUCGUGUCGUGAGAUGUUGGGUUAAGUCCCGCAACGAGCGCAACCCUUGUCAUUAGUUGCUACAUUCAGUUGAGCACUCUAAUGAGACUGCCGGUGACAAACCGGAGGAAGGUGGGGAUGACGUCAAGUCCUCAUGGCCCUUAUGGGUAGGGCUUCACACGUCAUACAAUGGUACAUACAGAGGGCCGCCAACCCGCGAGGGGGAGCUAAUCCCAGAAAGUGUAUCGUAGUCCGGAUCGCAGUCUGCAACUCGACUGCGUGAAGUUGGAAUCGCUAGUAAUCGCGGAUCAGCAUGUCGCGGUGAAUACGUUCCCGGGUCUUGUACACACCGCCCGUCACACCAUGGGAGCGGGUUUUACCAGAAGUAGGUAGCUUAACCGCAAGGAGGGCGCUCACCACGGUAGGAUUCGUGACUGGGGUGAAGUCGUAACAAGGUAGCCGUAUCGGAAGGUGC
rnacentral:rRNA from 1 species